GUAUCACUCAGAGCUGCGUUGUGUGACGGUUGAUGUUCGACAUUACGGUUGGUUGAAGUGUUAAAACCUAUCAUCAUAGUUUCAUGACUAUGAAAACAACAUGUUUACAUUUUUUUUUAUUUGUUAUACAGACAUCAUAGUUACAUGCAAAGAAACAACAAUGAUGGUUGAGGUUAAGAAAACCGACCUCUUAAGACGUUAUGAGGACAGACUGCAUCUACUCUCAUCAGACACUAAAUGCAGCCUGAAAACACUUUCCAACUCAACCCACCUAGUAGCUGUCGUGUCUCUGGCCUCCUGUGGGACUUAUGUUCAGGAAGAUCAAGACAACAUCUUUUAUGAGAACAAAAUAACCUCUGCUGAACCAAACAAAACCAUAUCCAGAAAGGCUGAUGUUGAGAUUGCAUUUAGCUGUGCAUUCCCAAAGAAGAACCACCUCACCCUGAGAUUCAAGCACAAGAACCCGUACGCUUUCAAGGAGAGGGGCUUUGGGUCAUUCUCCUUUCAGUUUGAGUUCUUUCAGAGCCAGCUGUUCAGACAGAAGGUGGAUGCCAGCACCUACCCGGUGGAGGUCAACCUCAAUCAGAUGAUGUUCAUGCAGAUCAAAGCAACCUCGUCUAUGCCAGACGUAGAACUGUUUGUGGAAUCAUGCAAGGCGUCUCCUGGAAACUCCCGCAUCAGCUACUCUAUCAUUGAGAACGGGUCGGUACAGUCAAAUAAAACCUCCUCUGUGGUGGCUUUUCCUCUCCUUUGUUCUAAACCAUCAUCAACCUGGUUGUUACAGGUGUGUGAAGGACUCAACCGUACAAAUCUACCCCAGCUCCAAGUCUCAGUUUAGGUUUGGAAUGGCGGCCUUUGAGUUCAUCGGUGCCAACAAUGAGGUCUACAUCACCUGCUCUGUUCUCUUAUGUGAGAGUGACGUCCCGAACACUCGCUGCUCCCAGGGCUGCAUCCAACCAGGAAGUCAUCGUAGGAGCAGAGAAGCUGCCAAUCAGACCAGCC
rnacentral:lncRNA from 1 species